CAGGGUGCGAUUUGUGAAAAAACCAGAGGGGGGGAUAAUUUUGAGAAACAUUUUAUUCAGGAAAAAUAACCACACAACAGUGUGAAAACUUAUGAAAACAGUUGAUUUUGUGACCUUGUGUAUCUAAACCUUACACUUAGGCUUCAUAAUAACGUAGGCGGUAGGCCUAUUUUGAACGUGAAUUUAACCACUGCAUUUGCAGAAAUAUUUUCUCAUAGCUAAUAUUGUUUUUAAAUGUGCCAAAUAUAAAAAUAUAUAUAUUUUUUCCCCGAUAUCAGUUCAACAGAAAAUAUGAAAUACCACAAUGUGCUGUCAAGACGUUUUUUUUUUUUUUUAUGGGUUAAUCGGGUAGACUAUAGGUCAGACUACGAAAACAGUCCGCUCUGAUGACGCACUUCAGCCUCUUUUUUUUGCUCUCCUGUUGGCGGAUCGAUAGCAGCGUGGUGACCCUGCUUCAACCACAUCUCUGCAAAUCUGAGGGCCGGGAAGGAGGCAACAUCUGGUGCAUUUACAGAGAUGAAAAGCAGAUUGUGCAGUGUGGACACAUUCAUUCUGUUUCUGCCAUCUGUAAGAAUGUGGUUUAUGGCGCUGAAACCUCUAUCACACUCGGCUGUGGACACUGGGAGCGUGGAGACAGCGGUGAGAACUUUGCGCAUGCUCUCUCCUGUGACACCGUGACAUUUAAACUCAUGGAACUCCUUCAGGAGUAUGGGACUGGUUGCGGCCACAACAGCAAGAGUUUUGUGUAUGGCGAGAAGUUUUUCAUCGCCGUAGAGGAUGCGCUCGUCUUCAUCAGAUGGCCAGUUUGAUGGAUUUAGAACGGCGGCGGCAGAGAUUAUCCCGUUGUCAUCCAGCCUGCGCUCAAUCGCGACGCCUCUGACUCGCUCCCGGUAGAUCAAAAUCACAUCACAAUCAAAAUGAAGACGGACCCUGUGUAUUUUGGUUGUUAAUUAUUACGAUGUAAUGGUGAAAAUACUUUGGGUGGGGGGGAUUUUUAUCCCCACCGAGGAUAAAAAUAAUUCAGCAGAGGGUAGGACGUGUAAACCAGAGGGGGGGAUAAUCCCCACCAUCCAAAACCGGCAAAUCGCACCCUGGCUAUGUGUCAGGCUUCAGGAUUUAGGAGAUAGUAUUAACCUAAGGGGUUUAUAUAUAUUCAAGAAAUAAAUCAAGUGUGUGUG